GGAUCCAGACUUUGCCUCUGGCUCAGGAUGAAUGCUGGCGGCGUGCUUAACACAUGCAAGUCGAACGAAGCACUUUAUUUGAUUUCCUUCGGGACUGAUUAUUUUGUGACUGAGUGGCGGACGGGUGAGUAACGCGUGGGUAACCUGCCUUGUACAGGGGGAUAACAGUUGGAAACGGCUGCUAAUACCGCAUAAGCGCACAGCAUCGCAUGAUGCAGUGUGAAAAACUCCGGUGGUAUAAGAUGGACCCGCGUUGGAUUAGCUAGUUGGUGAGGUAACGGCCCACCAAGGCGACGAUCCAUAGCCGACCUGAGAGGGUGACCGGCCACAUUGGGACUGAGACACGGCCCAAACUCCUACGGGAGGCAGCAGUGGGGAAUAUUGCACAAUGGGCGAAAGCCUGAUGCAGCGACGCCGCGUGAGCGAAGAAGUAUUUCGGUAUGUAAAGCUCUAUCAGCAGGGAAGAUAAUGACGGUACCUGACUAAGAAGCACCGGCU
rnacentral:rRNA from 1 species